ACGAGAAUAUCGAACUAGAUUUUAAAUUUUUUUAAAUUGAGCAUUUUUUUUUUGGCAAAAUCUUGGGUGCACCCGGGUCGUACCCGCCCAAAUCCUGACCUGUUUGAUUAGAUUCGGAUCCGUUUUUAUUAAUAUUAAAAAAAAAAGUCUAACUUGCCUUUUUUACCCUAAUUUACCUUCUUUUACCUCCUUAAUUAAGUAUCGAAACCUUGAGCUCGAUUUUGUCUUCUUCGCGGAGUUCGACGGCGUCGUUUUCUUCACGGCUGGUGUUCGGCGGCGGCGUCUUCUUUGCGGGUGGCGUUCGACGUUGGGCGGUGUUUGUUCGGCGGUGGCCUGACUUUUUGCUGGCGUCCGUGUUUGCGGGUGAUUGUUGAAUUUGAUGGAUGAUUUGGAGGAAAUUAGUAGUAAUGUUGAAGGUUCUAUGACUAAAGUUAUGGAAGAAGAAACUAAUGUUGAAUAUGACCAAAGUGUUUUUGUUGUUGAAGGAGACAAUCAAGACGACAUUGAAGUUAGUGUUGAAGGUAAUAUUUUAAUUAUAGUUUUUGUUGUAUAAUUAAUUAUAGUAUAUGGACUAUUAUUUUAUAGGAA